rnacentral:rRNA from 1 species
GAUGAACGCUGGCGGCGUGCCUAAUACAUGCAAGUCGAGCGAAUGGAUUAAGAGCUUGCUCUUAUGAAGUUAGCGGCGGACGGGUGAGUAACACGUGAGUAACCUGCCCAUAAGACUGGGAUAACUCCGGGAAACCGGGGCUAAUACCGGAUAACAUUUUGAACCGCCUGAUUCGAAAUUGAAAGGCGGCUUCGGCUGUCACUUAUGGAUGGACCCGCGUCGCAUUAGCUAGUUGGUGAGGUAACGGCUCACCAAGGCAACGAUGCGUAGCCGACCUGAGAGGGUGAUCGGCCACACUGGGACUGAGACACGGCCCAGACUCCUACGGGAGGCAGCAGUAGGGAAUCUUCCGCAAUGGACGAAAGUCUGACGGAGCAACGCCGCGUGAGUGAUGAAGGCUUUCGGGUCGUAAAACUCUGUUGUUAGGGAAGAACAAGUGCUAGUUGAAUAAGCUGGCACCUUGACGGUACCUAACCAGAAAGCCACGGCUAACUACGUGCCAGCCGCCGCGGUAA